AAUAAGUGUAGUUUUGUGCUAUUUAUGUCCAACAUUUGACCGUUCGUUUUAUUUGAAAUUUUUUUGUGAUGAGUAUUUUUAUUGUUAUUAGAUGAUAAAACAUGAAUAAUACUUUAUGGGUGUCUAUUUUUUUAAUUUUUUUUAUAAAUUUUUCAAAUAAGACAAACGGUCAAACGCUGGACACGGUUCCUCACGACUGCACUUAUU
rfam:Oryza barthii chromosome 8, whole genome shotgun sequence.